rnacentral:tRNA from 1 species
GCCCGGAAACCCGCAUGGAUGCUGGAUUUCACUUGGGACUCAAAAUCCCCCACCGAAAGGUGUGCCGGUUCGAUUCCGGCCCCGGGCACCA